rnacentral:lncRNA from 1 species
CAGAACAUUUCCACACUUCAAGAUCUGUGUUUCUUCCCCUGGAAUCCAGACCUUAAAAGGCGAUUGAAGGGUGAAGAGAAUUACAAGAUCAAGCAUGUCCGAGUAUUUGGGAAGGUUUGAGAACCGUUGAUUUUCCAACCAAGAAAUGGAAAAACAUCAACCACAAUAGUUUCCAGAGGAAGUUUUUCGAGGAUGAAAUGCUUUUGCUUUACUCCUCAAAUAUCAUCUCCUGCUUUCUGUUCAUUUACUUCAAUAUUCUGGUGAUGUGUGCUAUCCUCUACUGUCUUGUAUACCUAAAUUUGUGCAAUCUCCAGCGGAGAAACCAGUGUCCUAGACUCCAAAAAAUCUAUCUUGAUGAUGAACGAUGUGUUUAUCUAUUUGCAUUUCCUUAAUAUCUGGAUUAUUAUCUAAUUAUUCUAUAGAAUUGCCCUUCUUCUAGAUUUCUCUCUAAGGAUUGAAUCAUUAGAAAAUCAAGGUUUUUUAUUCCUGUUUUUUUCGCUUGAAGUGGACUUGCUAGGUAAGAAACACGUCUAUUAUAUUGGCAGCAGUUCAUAUAAAUUAUACAUCCCAUUCCGUGUUUACAUAGAAUCAAAGGCGUAACAAAUAUUGUUUAUGCCUUUUAUUUUAUUCAAUUAAUUAAUUUUAUAUAUGUUUAUUUUUUUAUUAUUUAUUUAAAUAAAAUAUUAAUUUUUGUGAACAGAUUGUCUUGAAGAUCCAAGUUGCAAGAUCAAAUAUCUUGGUCUAUAUGCGACUUUUAACUUUUUAAUUUUUAUUUUUAUUUAUCAGUAAUGAUUAUUUAUUUAUUUAUUAACAUAUGUAUUUUUUAAUUUAUUUUAUUAGAUGUAUAAAUAAGUUUUUUUUAAUUUUGAUUAAAAACAAAACAUUGAAAAAAUCUACAUAUUUAUUUUUUUAUAAAAACCUCAAAGUUAAAUAGCUAUUAAAAACUAGCCGCCAUUGUAGGGUUUGAUAGAAAAGAUAUUGGGCUGGUAUAUCAUAUUAUUACUGUUAUUAACUAUUACCACUAUAUACUAAAAAAUAACAACAGUGCAUUAUUGUGCUCAAUUUGGACAGGACUUUUCAAGAACAAUGUUGUUUUUUUUUUUUUCAUUUUGAUCAUCAAAUAUUAUUAUGAUUAUCAGUAUUAUUGUUAUAUUCUUGCAAGUUAAAUUUAAAUUUACUAUUUUUUUAUAAGUUUAAUUUAUGCAUAUAUGAUCCCCAUAGUCUAAGAAUUAUAAGUUUCAAUCCUAGAUUUAUUUAUUUAUUUAUUUUAGUCUUCGAGUAUUGAAAGAUGUUAGAAAAAAAAAAAAAAAAGUCAGUUGAUCACGUUCUUGUUAUCAAAAAAACCAAUCUUGUUAUCAAUGAAUUUGUCUUACAAAUAUAAGUUCUAUGAAGAAGGUUUAGAACUUUUAUCCUGUUAAAAACACAUAUCAAGACUUAGAAAGUUUUUUUAUUUAUUUAUUUGGUUUGAUUUUAGAUUUUAGACAGAUUAAAUGGUGUUUUGGAGUUAACAUGAGUUUAAUUAGGUUCUUAAAAUGUUUCUUUUUUAAUGUUUUGAGAUAAAAAAUAAAUUGAAAAAUAAUAUUUGAAGCUGCAAAACUCAUACUUUAAAUUCAAAUCAUCAAAAUGGUAAAAAUUCAAACUAGAAUGUGGCACCCAUUGUUUCUUAUUAAAAAAGGAAUAUUAGAAAAAAUAAAGCAUGGAAUAAAAGUUUUUUUUUAUGGUAAAAUGAACCAUUACUUUGAAUUAUGAUAUAAGAAGGUAAUAUGCAAUUGUUUUUUUUUAAAAAAAUGUUCAUAAAUAUUAAAUGAGAAUGAAACUAUUUUGUUAUGUUUUAUUGCAUAAUGUUUACAGAAUUUUGAUGAUUAAUUAUUCUUUAUGUUUUUCUUCUGUUGUGUACAAAUUAUUGAUUCAUGAUUUUUUAUAUUUGUAAUGAAAAUUGCUUUUCAAAUCAUGAUAAAUCUUUAUUUAAAAAACAAUACUUUUAUUAAAAAACAUGGUUUUUGAAAACCAAGAAGAAAUACAUGAAUAAUAAAAGUGAUUUUUAAUUGAAAACGAUAUAUAUUUUUCUUUUUUAAUUCAAAUCAUUAAUAUUUUUAUAAAUAAAUAUUUUAAUUAUUUGUAGUUUUUAUUCAAAAACAUGCUACUAAUUAAAAAAAAAAACAUGUUCUUGUCAUACAAAAAUACAUGAAUAAGAAAUGAAAAACUCACUUAACAUAAUUUUUACACGACUAUUUGUUUUUCUCUCCACGGAAUCGGUUGGAAGUGGACUUGACAGUUAAGAAACACGUCUAUUAGAUUGGCAACAGUUCAUAUAAAUUAUACAUCCCAUUCCGUGUUUACAUAGAAUCAAAGGCGUAGCAAAUAUUGUUUUGGCCUUUUAUUUUAUUUAAUUAAUUAAUUUUAUAUAUGUUUAUUUUUGUAUUAUUUAUUUAAAUAAAAAAUUAAUCUUUGUGCAUAGAGUUAUUAAACACGAUUGUCUUGAAGAUCCAAGUUACAAGAUUAAAUAUUUUAUCUAUAUGUGAAUUUUAACUUUUUAAUUUUUAUUUUUAUUUAUCGUUAAUGAUCAUUUAUUUAUUAACAUAUGCAUUUCUCAAUUUAUUUUAUUAUAUGUAUAAAUAAGUUUUUUUUUUAAUUUUGAUUUAAAAAAAACAUUGAAAAAAUCUACAUAUUUAUUUUUUUAUAAAAAAAUUCCAACUCUAAAUCAAAUAGCUAUUAAAAACUAACCAAUGUAGGUUUGAUAUAGAGGAUAUUGGGCUGGUAUAUCAUAUUAUUACUGUUACACCAUUAAAUAGUUUUACCGACGGUUUAAGUUCGUCGGUGUGAGGCACAAAAACCAUCGGUAAUAUUUUUACCGACGGGCUCAUCGACAAAACACGUUAGUUGAAAUUUUAAUUGUUGGUAAUUUUUCUUUUCAUCACUAAUUCUAUUAAUAAUUAAAAAAAACCAAAUAUCGACGAGACAACAGUAUAUUAUUGUAAAAACUAGCCACUAUAGCUUAGAUUGAGAGGAUAGUGGGCUGAUAUAUCAUAUUGUUACUCUUAUUAACUAUUACCACUGUAUACUUAAAAAAAAUAAAAAUGUACAUUGUUGUGCUAAAUUUGGAUAGGAAUUUUAAAGAAUGGUGUUGUUUUCUUUCAUUUUUAUCAUCAAAUAUCAUUAUGAUUAUAAUUAUAAUUAUUAUUAUUGUUAUAUUCUUGCAAGUUAAAUUUGAAUUCGCUUCUUUUUAUUUAUAAGUGUAAUUUAUGCAUAUAUGAUCCCUAUAACUUUAGAAUUAUAAGUUUCAAUCAUAGACUUAUUUAUUUAUUUAUUUAUUUCAAUCUCGGAGUGUUGAGAGAUGUUAAGAAAAUAGAAAAGAAAGAAAGAAAUUCAGUCAGUCACAUUAUGGUUAUGAAAAAAGCCAAUCUUGUUAUCAAUGAAUUUGUCUUCCAAAUAUGAGUUCUAUGAAGAUGGUUUAGAAUUUUAAUCUUGUUAAAAACAGCGAUCGAGAUUUAGAAAGUUUUUUUUAUUUGGUUUGAUUUUAGAUAUUUAGACGGAUUAAAUGGUGUUUUGGAGUUAAAAUGAAUUUAAUUAAGUUCUUAAAAUGUUUUUUUUUUUAAUGUUUUGAGAUAGAAAUAAAUUGAAAAAUAGUAUUUGAAGUUGCAAAACUCAUACUUUAAAUUCAAAUCAUCAAAAUGGUAAAAAUUCAAACUAGAAUGUGGCACCCAUUGUUUCUUAUUAAAAAAGGAAUAUUAGAAAAAAUAAAGCAUGGAAUAAAAGCUUUUUUAUGGUAAAAUGAACCAUUACUUUGAAUUAUGAUAUAAGAAGGUAAUAUACAAUUGUUUUUUUUUAAAUGUUCAUAAAUAUUAAAUGAGAAUGAAACUAUUUUGUUAUUUUUUAUUGUAUAAUUUUUACAGAAUUUUGAUGAUUAAUUAUUCUUUUAUGUUUUUCUUCUGUUGUGUACAAAUUAUUGAUUCAUGAUUUUUAUAUAUUUUUUAAUGAAAAUUGCUUUUAUUAUUCAUGUAUUUCUUCUUGGUUUUCAAAAAACAUGUUACUAUAUAUUUUGUUAUUUUUUAUUGUAUAAUUUUUACAGAAUUUUGAUGCUUAAUUAUUCUUUUAUGUUUUUCUUCUGUUGUGUACAAAUUAUUGAUUCAUGAUUUUUAUAUUUUUUUUGAAUGAAAAUUGCUUUUCAAAUCAUGAUAAAUAUUUAUUUUAAAAACAAUACUUCUAUUAAAAAAACAUGUUUUUUGAAAACCAAGAAGAAAUACAUGAAUAAUAAAAGCAAUUUUUAAUUGAAAACGCUAUAUAUUUUUAUUUUUUAAUUCAAAUCAUUAAUAUUUUUAUGAAUAAAUAUUUUAAUUAUUUGUAGUUUUUAUUCAAAAACAUGCUACUAAUUAAAAAAAAACUUGUUCUUGUCAAACAAAAAUACAUGAAUAAGAAAUGAAGAACUCACAUAACAUAAUAUUUUUUUCUCUCCGCAAUUUAAAUCAUUGUAUAUUUUUUUUAAUAAAUAUUAAUUUUAAUUACCACAAAACUAAAUGAAAACAGAUUUUGAAAACCGCCACACAAGGGAAAAAAUUAGUAAAUAUAUUAAAAGAGCUAGACUUUUUAUUGUAACUCUGAUAUUGUUCAAAUAGAAAUAAAACAUCGUGGAUUACUCCGUGGAAAAACACUGCAAUCUCUAUUGUUGACCUACAAAUAAAAAAAUAUUGAUUUUAUGCUCUAGUCCCUAAAGCUUUUAAUUUUUAGUCAUUUUAAUUUAAAGUCUCUUAGUUUUUGUCUUCAAACUUCAUUUUUAUAAUAUUUCAGUUUUUAUAUUCCGAGAAAAGAGAGAGAAAUUUUUCACUCAUCCAUAUUUAUCCGACAAAAAAAUCAAUCUUAAUAUCAAUAAAUUCAUUUUAGAUUGGGAAGGUCAAUAAAAAUGCUUUUGCUCUUUAACCAUACCAAAAAAUAGAUUGAAGCAUUUUAUUAUAGCUUUGGUAUUGUUCAAGCAUUGAUAAAACCUAUGAAAUCUCUAUUGUCCAGUAAGAAAUAAAACACUGUUCAUUUUACACUUUGAUCAUUGGAGUUUUCAAUUUUUUUUCAUAUUUAAUCCAUGUAGUUUUUAUUUUGUUCAUUUUAGUCUUGGAACUUUAUUUUCACCACAUUUUUGUUCCUAGAUUCUAAGAGAGGAGAAGGAAAAUAGUUAAAAAACAAAGAAGAUAAAUAUUUUAGCUAGCCAUAAAAGAGACUAAUGUUGGUGUUAAUGAGUUAAUUUUAGAAAGAUAAAAUUAAUGGAUGUGGUAUUUCUCCUUUAACCAUGAUGGAAAAAGUAAAUUGAGGCCUGAAAUUUUUUUUUUCCUUCUUGAUUUAUGAUUUUUUAAGUGAUUAAAUAAUAUUUUGGGAUUGUAAAUGAAGUUACCAAGGUUCAUAAUAUUUAUUUUUAAUUGUUUUUAGAUGAAAAGAAGUUGAAGUUUUGAUUUUAAGGGUCCAAAUAUCUCAGAAUCUUCUAGUACUCGAAAAUUGUACCGGUAGAUAACACGUAGUCUAACCAAGCAGAUAAUGUGUUGUCUAUUUAAUUAUUUUUUUAUAUAAAAAAAUAGGUUAGACUACAUGUAUUCUGCCCUUCCUUCCAGACUUAGGUGUGAUGGCUCUUCACCUUUUGUUUUUUUCUUACAUUUUUUAUUUUUUUAAUAAAAUUAUCUUUAAAUAAAAUUAUUAAAAUUAUUUUUGAUUGAUGAGUUUAAGUAUUGAAAUUGAAAGGACAAAGAGAGAGCCAAACUUAGAAAAUAGAUGUUGGUGCAGUCUAAACUGGAACACUGUUCGGUAAUUGGGUCAUAUCUCGAGUUCCAGGUGUCCAAAUGACCUUAACUUUUUGAAAAUAUUUGGUAAGACAUAGGUCUAUAACUUUCAUGUGGAGUCCAAGAUUUAAAAAAGUCGUUUUUAAGUCCAAAUUAUAGCAACAACGGAGAAGUCCGAAUCUGUCCUGUAGCUCAGACAUUGUUCAGUGUUGAACCCAUAUCUCGAGUUCUAGAAGUCCAAAUGACCUCAAUUUUUUUUCCUGGAAAGAUAAGACAAUUUCCUAUAACUUUUGUACGUACAGGUGGUUCUAGUUCUGAUGCUAACAAUGACGUUUUAUUUAGACAAGAAGAUAAGAGUUUUCACCAAGUCAAGAGUUGGCCACCCACUUAACAAUUAGUCAUCAAAUCAAUAGUUUCAAAUUUUGGCCUAUAAAAAAAGGCAUUUGCCAUGUAUUUAGGGGCUUGGUUGUUCAUAUCAAGAACUUGUUCUUGCUCUCUUUUUUUAUAUUUGUUUUUAUAAUUAUUAAGUUUUACUUUCAUUAGUAUUUGUUUAUGCUUUUCAUUUUCUUUCCUUUACUUAGUUAAUUUGUAUCUUAUUUAUGUUCUUGUUUUGUUUAUUUAUGUUUCUCUUCUUCAUUAUGUUUAGUUAAGUUUAUUAUGUCAAGGUGAAAAAGUUACACUAAUGGUGUAAGAAUAAGUAUAGUGUAAACUCAACAUGGACCUUAAUGUUUAAUAUUAACAUGUCUUAUCUUUUUAUCUCACUAAUUCUUAAUACCUGCUUGUUAAAUGGUUAAUCUAGAUUUGUGUUGUACAAUACUUGGUACAACAAAUGUUUGACACUCUCAUAGCCUAACCGUAUGGUAUUAUGGUAUUACCUAUACCUAUGUUGUGCAAGGAACUUGAUUUGUUGUUAACAUAAGUUAGCAUCAUGAAUUCCUGAAAAUAUUUAAAAGUUUGGUAUUACUUAAAUAAGAUAAUUAAUAUAAUCAUGUUAAUAAUUUAUAAUAAGCUAUUAAUGAUAAAUCAUCCGAUUGGAACCUCUUUUGUGUGUGGUUUCUAGUUGAAUAAUAAGAGUUUAUAGUAUACUUGUUUGAAAUACCAUUAGUGGAUCCUCUAACGUUGACAUUUGUUUUUAUCAUUGUUUAAUCUUUAUAUUAAUCUUUCAUCUCAAAGUUCUCAUCAACUUUUUCUUCAUCUUCUUUAUUAUUAUUAUUGUUGUUGUUGUUGUUGUUGUUAUUGUUAUUGUUGUUGUUGUUGUUGUUGUUGUCGUUGAUGUUGUUAUAUUAUUGUUGUCUAUAAUUUAUACAAUUAACCUCCCUGUGGUUUGACCCCGUCUUGCCUGGUUAUUUAUUACUUCGACACUCUUACACUUAGAAGAAAACAUCAAUCUUUUGGUCGUGUCAAAUUGCACUAUAAGAUAGCGAUGUGUUUUUUUUUAUAUUGUUCCUUAAGAACAAAAAAGUUUAUUUUGGUACCUAUAUUUUUGAAGUUUUACAUAUUUUUUUGGUAAUGCAUUUUUACAUACUUUAGGUGCGCUCGAGCUUGAUUUUUUUUGUCCGUCACCUUUUUUCUUCUCUUUUCAAUCAAUAUUUUUGUCUUAAAAGAAAACAAAAUAAAAUUCUAUUCUAAAUAAAAUUAUUGAUAUGAUAUUAAAAACAUUAUCAUGCUGUGCUAUAAUUUUUAAAUAAAAUUAUAGUUUUUAUGGUAAUAUUAAUAAUUGUUUUAUAAAUGAUAAACAUCAACAACAACUGCAAAUUAAAUUAAUUUUGUCUUAAUGAUAAUUUUUUAAACUCAUAAAAUCGUAGCUAAUGGAGUGAUUGUUGGAGAGGUUUAUAUUUUUUAUUACAAAACUAAUAAAUCUAAAAAGGAUGAAUUAUUUUGUGUAAGAAUUUUUAGGCCUAGAAAAAUGGGAUUUGUGCUUGUGAUAAUUAUCUAGUAUUGGAGAUGAAAAGAAAGAACCAAAAUUUUAAAGGAAUAAAUAUAAUGAUAUUUUGAUUUGCAGUGUGGUAAUAAAUAGGAGCAACAUGGGAUCAUUCCUUUCAAAGCCAAAAAGAGGAAUUUAUUGAAGGGGAAAUAAGAAAUAUUUUGUUAUUCUUAAGAGGGGAUUCUUUCUUUUAAUUGUUGGUGUUCCUGUGAUUUCUUAUAUUUAGAUGUGAUUUAUUAAUAAUAAUAAAUAAAAAUAAUAAGAAAUAGAAAGAAAUUCAUCGUCUGGAUCGUAUAUCAACAUCCAAUUAUUAAAAAAAAAUGAAAAAAGAAAAGGUUCCAUCACAACUCAUAUAGAUACAAAUAGUGGAAGCAAGAAUAUUUGACAUAUUUCAUUUUUAAGCAGAAACUUGAUUUUUCUUCCUGAAGGGUUGCAGAACAUUUCCACACUUCAAGAUCUGCGUUUCCGCCCCUGGAAUCCAGACCUUAAAAGGCGAUUGAUGGGUGAAGAGAAUUACAAGAUCAAGCACGUCCCAAAUAUUUGGAUGGUUUGAGAAUCGUUGAUUUUCCAACCAAGAAAUGGAAAAACAUUAACCACAAUAGUUUCCACAGGAAGUCUUUCAAGGAUGAAAUGCUUUUGCUUUACUCCUCAAAUAUCAUCUCCUGCUUUCUGUUCAUUUACUUCAAUAUUCUGGUGAAGUAUGCUAUCCUCUACUGUCUUGUAUACCUAAAUUUGUGCAAUCUCCAGCGGAGAAACCAGUGUACUAGACUUCAAAAAAUCCAUCUUAAUGAUGAACGAUGUGUUUAUCUAUUUGCAUUUCCUUAAUAUCUGGAUUAUUAUCUAAUUAUUCUAUAGAAUUGCCCUUCUUGUAGAUUUCUUAAGGAUUGAAUCCUUAGAAAAUCAAGGAGACAGAUCUGUCUUUCGGGUUACCAGUGAAAAUUUAUUCUUGUUUUUUUCGUUUGGAAGUGGACUUGCUAGAUAAGAAACACGUCUAUUAUAUUGACAACAGUUCAUAUAAAUUAUACAUCCCAUUCCGUGUUUACAUAGAAUCAAAGGCGUAGCAGAUAUUGUGUCUACAUCGCAUUAAAAUUUGAAUAAACCAUCGGAUGCACGAGUAUGAACUACCCUGUAUCCCUAGUUAGCCUAGAUGCUACUGUGUCCUCUUAAUGUUCUCUAAUACAGGCGUGAUAAGAACAUUUUAUUUGAUGAUAGAGCUUUCUUCUCGUCCCAUGUAUCAAGUCACUACAUUUCCAUUGGUAUUGUCGAUGAUUGCUGAUAACCUCUCCAAGAAAAGGUUAAAGGCUUCUGGUGGACUAAACAUGCUUAUUCUGACAUACUUUGGACUAGCCCCAAACCUCUCCCCACUUCUUGCUAUUAUCUUAUGCUCUCUUAAACGACUCUCCCAGUCUAUAUCCUCCUUGCUGUGCAACCAUGCAAAAGCUGUUUGCAGAAAAGCAAAAUAUGUCAGAAGAGAUUUUCAAAUGAGCCUACAAUAAAGUUGGGGUGUCCUAUUUCAAAAGUAACAAAAAUAAUAUUGAUCUAAUUAUGAGCAUUACCAGGAUUUGAAUACAUGUACUUUCCAGUGAAGUUGCAGUAAUCUCGUGGGUACUUUGGCAGACUGAAGACUCUGCUGUUCUUGACAACAUUUCGCAAUCUCUCCCACCUUUCUUUCAGAAUGCUAUGGCUAUACUCAAAGAAGUUCUCUGAAUCAGCAGUCCUACAACCUUCGCCAAGCACUCCAAGAAUCUUCGCAGCUCGAAUCUGAGAUUCUUUAGAUACACCGAUGGAACUGAUCUGCAUGUAUUCAGUCAUCUUUCUAGCUACCUCUUUAUCCUUAACAAGUGCCCAGCUUCAAUUUGGAAACAAAAUAAUUAGCAGAAAGGAACAAGAAUGAACUACAAAUUAAACACAGGCAAAGAAGAAUGAUAUAUUGUUGCGAUCUUCUUAUUCCAACAAGUCAUGCAUGGCGACAUUAAUCUCUUUAACUAAAGAAUGUCCUGCUCACCCAAUCCGGGAACCAGCAUGUCCAGUGCAUUUGGAAAAUGUGAACAGCAUAAUAUCAUGAUCCAAGGGUUGAGUGAUAGGCGUGUAUUGUGGCCAGUAGUAGGCAAGGUCAUAGACAAGCUUCCCUUCUCCACGGUUCACCACAGCUUCUCGGACAGCACCGUCAGGAUUAUUCGGCGAGGUUACGACCUCAAUAUAAGGUCCAUCCUUAUCGAAGGUGUGCGCAUCUCCCUCCCAUUUAUAGAGUCCUGAACGCAGGAAUUCUGCCUGAUCUUUAUAUCCCUGCAGGCAAUGAAUAUCACAGGCACAUAAAUGAAUUAAUCUUCCACGACGAAUGAAGGGCGCCGGAGAAUUGACCUGUCCUCUUUUUUUUUCUUUUUUCUUUUCACCAUAGACGCACCAUGAGGUAAGAAACCAAUACAUGUCUUGAAUUAGUAUUUUGUCAGUCAAGUAACAUGAACAGGAAAUUAAGAAAACUUGCAAUCACAUUAUGGAUUAAUUAAUCACAUAUGCGUAAAUAAAUGCAUGUGAAUAAGCAUGCAAGCAGUCAAGCAUUUGCAACUCUGUUGAUGCCCAAUUGCAUAUGAUAUAAUUAAAUAAACUCAAGAACCGAGGUUCUGCAGCAAAGUUUGUGGAAAAUGUGGGUAACAUGCAAAGUUGUCUGCUCCAAGGACCGCAACAAGGGAGAUGGAUUUGCUAUUUUCUAAGAUGAAACAUCUUUGUUCCUGCUCGCGUAGCAAACGCCAGGCGCAAGUUCUCCCAAGUUUUGACACAAACGAGACAUGGUCAUGUUACCUAAAUCUUAGUUUCUCUUUACGAAACAUGUUUGUCGCCAUGUCUUUUGUUACAAACAGCACUCAUUUUUAUUUAUUGAUUAAUGAGUUAUUUUAUUUGUAAGAAAUACCAUUAACGUGAUGUUCUUAUUAAAUUAAGCUCUUUCUUUUUCAGAAAUAAUCUUAAUGAUCUCGCACGUACGACUUUUUCACUGAUGGCUGCGCCGGCCAAGCUUAAUUUCCUUAACCAGGCAAAGAUGGCUCUCUAAAUAAAUAAAUACAUGAGAAAUUAAAAAAGUAAACUAAAUUUAAGCAGUUCUGUUUUAUGCAAGACAAAUAAACAAAAAAAAAGAAGAUUAUAUUAGAUACUCUUGUUGGUUUGACUUUGACUUAUCAAAACUGUCUUGGCUGGUUUCAGAUCUCCUAGGUAUACAUCCUUAGAGGAUCUGACUCCUCUAAUGUUAGAGGUGACCCGCCUCAUCAUGUCAAAAAACUAAAAUUAGAACGUUGAUUUUGAAAUUUAUAAUUUGAAUUUUCUCAAAUAAAAAAAUAACUAUUAAUUUUAAAAAUAAAAAAAGAUCUGCCCACCAAGUAAAAUAAAUCUCAAAUACUGUGUUUUAGAUUAAUAUAUAGAUUUUCUUAAUAUAACGGAUCAUGCUAUCCCUAACUUAAAGGGAGAGCUCAUUCCAAUCGUUUGAAGAUCGUCAUUGAGUUCCAUGAGUAGGUUAUUAAGCCAGUAUUGAGUCUGGUUUUACACCAUCAGAUCAAGUGAAAGCAUGUAAAGACUUGCACCAAAUUAUGUAAACUGAAAGAAGUUUGAUGAGGAAGGGAGCGGUGGCUACCGAGUAAAAAGGAGCAGCAGCUACAAGACUGACGGGGUGGCGAUCAGCCGGAGAAGAGAGAGCAUACAGAGCAGCCAUUAAGAGCUGUGUUGAACCUGUCCCAACCACGAUGUGGCGAUCCUCUGUUACUGCGUUUCCAACAACACGAUGCAGUCGCUUUAUGGCAUCACCAAGUUGUGGCUGCAAAAACCAGCAAAUGUUGCUAAUAUCACUGAAAUAGCUCAUCAAAUCACACCCUUCAAUCAUCAACGUACACUUGUCUCCCAUUUUCCUCCAGUAUGGCUCGAACAACGUUGGAUCUCCCCUGCAUUUCCGCAUAACACAUCACUUCCUCGUACGUUAAGAAAAACUCUAUCCCAGAUAACAACACUACGUGAUAAUUAUACCAAACUAAAACUGUUAAACCGUAAAUGACUAUAGCCAGGCCAUUGCACCGGCGCAAUGUAGCCACAACGAGGUGGUGUAUGCUUUUAAUUUCCGAUAGAAAACAAAAGAAUUUAAUAAACGUGAACUUACUGAUCUAGAUUGAUCAUGGAAUCCGGUGAGAGACUUGUCUUUGUGGGCUUAGUUGUCGUCGGAGAAGAGUUUUGGUUAUUGGUUGCUCCAUUCUCUAAACCGCCCAUUUUUCUCUUCUCUUUUCUUCUGUUCUUUUGGUUUCCUCAACUACAGUCAGUGCUCGUGGUUUCUCGUAUACGUGCUUUGAUGGGCUAUGCAAAUACCUGUAUUUAUACUAAAUUAAUGAUGCGUCAGAAACUCUUUUUUUUUUUUUUUCAAUUCUGUAUAUGAGAGUACAUGUUAUAUUAUACGUGGGGGUGUUUUUAUUCUUGCUUUGCUUUGGUUUUUUUAUUUUUAUUAUGUUACCAAGCAUCUAGACUUUUGUAGUUAUAUUAUUCUAUAUUUUCUCAAGAAAAGUUGCAAGAUUAUCUGUCAAAUGCAAUUUUGCUUGUUUCCAUUCCAUAAUUAUUCCUAACCCAUAUUAACAUAUUAUCAUUGAUGGAAAGAUACAAUGAAUUCAAAACAUCAUAUGUGUUGUCUUAAAAAAAUUAGUUUGUAGUUAAAAAUAAUUUUUAAAAAAUAAAAACAAUAUUAUUUUAAUGUAUUUCCAAGUAAAAAGCAUUUUGAUAACAAAAUCAACUAUAUUAUCAAACAAACCCUGAAUUUUGAUGAUAACAUUUGAGAAAUUAUUAGUUUUUUUUAACGUACUAAACUGAUAUAAGGGGUGUAUUUUUAAUUUAUCUAGAAAAAAAAAAUCAAUCUCAAUACCUUUAUUGUUGAAAAAAAAACUAACAUGCAAUGUACAUAUAUCACGCUGCUCACGGGCUCCAAAACCUAUCAAAACAGAAUCUGAUCGCACGCGCGCGCGCACAUACAUGAUAUUUAAAAUACACAUAGCAUAAAUCAUGAGAGAUAUUGUAGAAAAUGAAGUUCCUAAAUGAGAAAUAAAUGAGAAACAUGCAAUAUAUCAACCAAUGAAUUAAGAGUGUAUUUAAAAAUGUGAUGGAAUCUUGCUUCUAAUUAAGGGUUUUAAAUUUUUUAUGUUUUUUAAUUAUUUUGAUGUGCUGAUAAAAAAAAAAAUUUAAAAUUCAUUUUAAAAAAAUUAUUUUAGAAAAGCUCAAUUCCCAAUCAAUUUAAUAUUGAAGGAUAGAAUCAUAAAAAAAAUCAAUUUAGAAAAAUAACUCGAGAUAACUAGUGAUAUUUUUAAAAUCAAUGAAAAAAUAAAUAAAUAAUAAUAAAGCCUACUCAGCCUAGCCUCCAAUUGAAUAAAUGAUAAAGGAUAAAAUUAAAAAAAAAUCAAGUAAACCCAGACGAACCUUCUAUAUUUAGGUUAACCUCUAAACUCACAACCCUUAAAAUCCUGGAUCUGGACUUAAUAUAGAGGCUAAAUCCCUGACCAAUUUAAUAUUAAAGGGUGAAUCCAAAAGAAACUUGGGCAUUUAUUACUUGGAUCAUAUUCGCGAUUUAUUUCCAUACUUGAACAAAUAAGAAUUUGGAAGGUUUAAAUUUUGUAAUUGUCGCUUCUAUAAUAGAACAGUUAAAUAGGAAAAACAAUAACAGUUUAAAAAACUUGUCAAAGUAAAAAAAAAAAAAACAAUAACAGUGAAAAAAGUUAGAAUCAAAUUUUAUAGGAAAAAGAGUCAAGGAAGAUGAAAAUAUGAAAAAGUUAAUUUAAAAAACCAUUUCAAACAAACCAAAUAGAAAUCAAAAAAAUGAAAAUCAAAUUUGAAAGAUUUAAAAAGUAAAAGGGGAUGAAAUUAAAAAAGAAUUCUGAUUUUAUAUAUUAUUCAAAAAAUUAUUACAAAUAUUGAAGGAUGAAAUUAAAAAAAAAAAAAUUUUAAAACUCACCCAAAGAAAAUUCAACAAAGAACAAAAAAAAAAAACCUUGAGAUAAGUUGAGUCAUUUAAAAAAUAAGUGAAAAACUCUAUAGAAAGCUAAUAAAUAAAAAUAACAGAGCUUAAUCUCUAAUUGAAUAAAUAUUAAAUGAUAAAAUUAAAAAAACAUGAGCUUAAAAAAUAAUUAAAAAAAAACAAGCAAACAUGAGCGAAUCACUUAAAGUCAAGCUAAUAUCUAAAACUUGCAACCUAUGCGAUCCUAAACCCGAACACAAUUAAGAAGCCUAAUUCAUAACUAAUUUAAUGUUGAAGGAAGAAAUCGAAAAAAAUACAAAUUUAAAAACUUUGUCAAAGUAAGAAAAAUAACAAUCAAAAGAAUGAAAAUCAAAUUUGAUAGGAAAAUAAACUUAGGGAGAAUGAAAUAAUAGAAAAAAAUAUUAAAAAUAAUCUCAAACAAAAUAAAUAGCAAUCAAUAAAUUGAAGAUCAAAUUUGAAAGAUAAAAAAAGUGGAAGAGGGGGAUGAAACUGAAAAGGAAUUCUAAUUUUGAUUAUUAUUCAAAGUAAAAUAAAUAAUAAUUAAAAAGGACAGUGACCAAAAGUUAAGAGAAAAAAUUAAAGGGAUUGGUUUGAAAUUUUGAACAAUUUGACUCAAAAUUUGAGGUGGAAAGAGAAGGAGGAAAAACAAGAAAUCGUUGUCAGUAUCAAAUACGAGGUGUGUUUAAUGCACAUGCCAUCCCGUCGUUGAGAGGAUACGAAAACCUUUUUAAAGUGUCAUUAAAUAUCGUGUUUGGUGACCAGACAAAUUGAUAAGCACCACUUGAAAGGUACUGGGAUCAUCGACUUGCUUGUGCGUGCCAUACACGUGUUUAAAGGUUUUUUUAAAAAUAAUGUUUAAUAAUAUUCAUAUAUAAAAGUGCUCUGAUUCUCUUUGAUAUUUUAAAAAAAAAGGCCACAAUAAAAGGACCGAAAGGCUCCUAAAAGAGAAUUUAGUGGAAUAUGUCAUUUAACUAUUUAAAAAUAAAAUUAAAAAUUAAAAUUAAAAUAAUCCUAAAUAUAUAUUAAUUUUUUUUUUAUUUGAGGGAUAACUAUAUAAUUUUAUUGUGCAUAAAUAAUAAGAAGAUUAAUAUGAACACAUUACAUUGCCCGUAAUGUCUAAGAUAAAGGUUUUAUUGUUUACGAAAUUUUUUGGUAUUAUGUUAUUAUAAUAAACAGUGUUUAGAUUCUUGAUUUUAAUUUUUUUAAUUUAAUUUAAUUUAAUUUGUUAGACUUUCCCUUUAUUAAUAUUUAAUAUAAGUGUGCGUUUAGAUUAGUAUUAUUAAGACAAUUGAUCUUUUUAUUAUUUUUAUUCAGUUGAUUCUCUCAAUUUUACCUAAAUUAUUUUUUAAAAUAUUUUUUUCUAUUGCUUAUGUUUUUUUCAUUAAAAAAAGGCAUAUAGCACACUCGAACGUCCACCAACACAUGAUUUGCUUUGUGCAAGAAAACAGAAAUCCAUGACUGAUGGUCGGUCGGCUUGAAUAUCAUGUGCCAUCAAUGAUGAUGAUGCAUGUGCUAUUCACUGAUAAAACAUGGGGCUUUUCAAACGUUCUUUGUAUUUAGACUUGUUAUUAUUAACAAAACAAUUAAAAGAUAAAUAAAUUAAAAUAUUGUUUCGGUUUCACGAGUGAGAUGAACAGUUAAACAACUGGCUUUCUUUUUUUCAUUUUCUUUUUUAUCUUUUAUCAUACCUUUUUAUAUAGCCUAUUUAGAAAACAAUUAGGCUUGGAAUUAUAAUAAAAAUAUAAAAUUUAAAGAUAAAAAAUUAACAAGUAAAAUAUAAAUAAAAUAUAUAGCAAACCACACAAUAAAAGUCCUUCUAUUUCAUUUGUAAUUAUAAAUUCAAUUCAAUAUUAAUUUAGAUGUUUAUUUUUCACCCACUUUUGUGUAAAACGUGCUAGCCUGACUUGCCAGACCCAACAUCACUUGAUUUUUUUAAAAAAAAAAUAUUUUUUUAAUUAAUGCCCUUAUAUAUAUAUAUAUAUAUAUUCAAAAUAAUUUUUAAAUUUAUAUGUAAAUAAUGCCUCAUUUUUCUUUUAUUUUGUUUAUCUAGACUCUUUUAAAUAAAUAUUAGUUUUUAGUUAUUUUAUAUGCAUUUAAAUUUUAGAGAGAUUAUUUUAAUUCAUCUAUAUUUUUUAUAUAUUUUAUAUAAAUGAAAUUUAUUUUAAAAAAAUUUAAAUAUUUAUUUUUGGAUAAUAUUUUUAAUAUAUGUAAUCUUGUAUAAUAUUUUUUUUUAUCUUUUAUUUAUUAAUUAAUUUCAUGUGUAUCUAUUUUUAUUAUCACUUAUUUAAAUAAAAAAUUAAUUUUUGUAAACAGAGUUGUGAAUUUUUGUAAAUUAAUUUUUAUUAUCUUGGUCUAUAUGUGACUUUCAAUUUUUUAGUUUUUAUCUUUAUUUAUCAUUAAUGACUUUUUAUUUAUUUAUUUAUUAAUAUAUAUUAAUUUAUUUUAUUAGAUGUACCUAUAAGUUUUUUAAUUUUAAUUAAAAAAAAUUUAAAAACAUAUAUAUUUAUUUUUUAUAUAUAAAAAAAAAUCCUUCCCACAACAAAGUACAAGUGAAAGAGCUAUUAAAAACUAGCCAGUAUAGGUUUGAUAAAGAGGAUAUUGGGCUGGUAUAUCAUAUUAUUACUGUUAUUAAUUUUUACCACUAUAUAAUAAAAAAUAACAACAGUGCAUUAUUGUGCUCAAUUUGGGCGGGACUUGUCGCACGUGUGUGGCGGCACGGCGAUCGUCCACCCUCAAGGAAAAAUCAGAAUAAUUUAUUCCUGGCAAAUAAAAUAGGGAGAGACAAGGAAUUCUUGUCUCUACAAGUGAAAAUAUGGACUGGGAGUCGCCACCUAGUAUUCUGGUUACUAGGAACCUUAACUGGUCUUUAGAGAUCGGGUACGGAGACUAGUUGCGUAAAGGGAAGGUAUUAGCACCACAACUACGUCCUACUUAAGGUAGACUGCAUUGUUUUAAUGUCUGAUAAAAUCUAAAAUCGUGUUGUGGUUUUUUUGAAUUUUUGGUUCGUUUACGGUUUAAGAAAAGUCCUCCUCUGUAAGGAGGUCCUUAUCUUUAUCGGGUAAAAAAAGUACUAUUCGAAGUCGUCAAAAGAAAAUAUUUUUUUAAUAUCAGGAAUACGAUUUACGCAUAAAUUCAUAAUCCCUGAUACUAAAAUCAAACAAAAUAAAAUAUUUGUUGUUUUUUGAAAUUUUGGCCAAUGUUCUCUUGACUUUAAUAAACUGGUUAUUAAAGCCAAAAUGCAUGCUAAAAUAUUGUUUUUUGACAUAUGAAAAAUACGAUAUGAUUUUUUAGAUUUGAGACACUUGGCCGUAUGUACAAAAACAUUUUUUUAUCUUUUUUUCAAUUUUUUUUUAUUUUUGGAAGUUUUUGCCGAAAACCGAGUAUUUUAAUACCGGAUUUAUAUUUUUACGAUGUAAAAAUACUGCCCGAUAUCAAUCAAAAUGACAUACAAACGACGCGGAAAAAUUAUAAAAUGCCGAAACAAAUAUUUUUGAUUUUUUAUGUUGUGUGAACAGUACCGCGGGACGAAAACCGGGUAUUUUAAUACCGAAUUUAUAUUUUUACGAUGUAAAAUACAGACCGAUAUUAAGCAAAAUUGAUAAAAAAAAAAAUGUGCUAAAAAAUUGUAAAAAAACUUCUGAAAAAAAAAAUUGAAAAAAAAAAAUUGAAAUGGGCCGGGUCCGGUAACCAGCCCUCUUCAGCUGCAGAACGUGAAUUAAUUCACGUUCUGCAUGCAAACGAGGGAGGCAGCAAACGGAGAAGGCGACAGGGCGGCGAGAGAUUACCUGCGGUGACGUCGUGGCGGUGCUGCCGGCGGCGUAGGCACGGUGGCGGAGGCCGGCGGUGGUUCUCUCUCUCUCUCUUCUGUUUUUCUUCGUUUUCUUCCCUGCUGCUUCUUCUUCUUCUUCUUCUUCUCUGCCCUCUCUCUUCUCUUCUCUUCUAUCUCGGUUCGUCUCCCUCUCCCCUCUGUUCUUCCUCUCCUUCUUCGGUUCCCUUCCCCUGUUUUUAUAGGCAAAAACAGGGGAAGGCCGAAUGGUGGGGCGGCCACUAUUGGCCGCCCCUCCACUAUCUGUUCAAAAGGUGGCAAGUGGGCUGGUGUGGUAGGUGUCUUAUUGCGCAAAAAUAGGGAAAGAGGUUAGGCGAAAAGGGAGAAGAAAAAUCUUCUUCUUCCCCUGCCUCGCGUGUCCAGGGGAAGAAGAAGAGCUACAGUGCCGUCAAAACGGCACCGUUUUGGGCAUCUGUAUUUUAUUUUUUUUUUUUUUGCAACAGUGAAUGAAACGGCGCCGUUUUGGUCAAAACGCGCCGUUUCAUUUAAAAGGAAAAGGCGCCAAAAGCAUCAGAUUCAAAUUUCGGCCCUCCAUUUGCGCGCGUUUUACAAUUUAGUCCUUGGUCUCGGAUUUCUUCAAUUAAGUCCCUAAUUGGCCAUUAAACUUCAAUAUUUAUGCAAUUAAGCCCCUAAUUUGACCAAAUUAACUUCCAAAAAUUUAAAUUUGACCCCAGAAAAUUAAUUCCUCCUAAUUAAAGCCCAAAUUAACUCCAAAAUCAAUUUUUCUUGCAAUUAAAAUCUUCAUAAAUGCAAUUAAACCUUCAAUAAAAUUUAAUUGAGUCCAUAAACUUCUAAUUUUGCAUUUUUCUUCCUCAAAAUUGAAUUUUCUUUAUCAUCGGGGCUCUCAUCAGUCAAUGAUAUACUGUCAAAAAUUAAUUUUUAUACUUUUGAACAUCCUCAAUCAAUUUUUGAACAUUUUUAGAGCGCUCUGGCAUUUUUUCACUGUUAUAUUUUUUGAUAAUAUAUUUUUUUGAAUUUUUUUAUAUUUUUUUUUAUGUGGGGACCCAAAAAUGGGUUACAACAGGACUUUUCAAGAACAAUGUUGUUUUCUUUCAUUUUGGUCAUCAAUGAUGAUGUUGUUUUUGCGUAUUCUUGGAAGUUAAAUUUGAAUUUGCUUCUCUUUGUACUCAUUGUUUUAGAGACAUAAGAAUUUGAAUUUAUAGUAAAAAAAAAUUAAAAAAACAAGUACCAAAAUAACUAAUAACAAUAUUAUCUAUUGUUCGAAUGAUGCAUAAAAAUAUAAUUUCAUCCUUAAAGUUUAAUUUAUGCAUAUUUGAUCUCUAUAGUCUUAGAAUUAUAUGUUUCAAUCUUGGACUUCUUUUUUUAUUUAUUUAUUUUAGUCUUUAAGUGUAGAGAGAUGCUAGAAAAAAAAGAAAAAAAAGACAUCACUCAGUCAGUUAAAAAAAUCAAUCUUGUUAUCAAUAAAUUUGUCUUACAUAAAUAAGUUCUAUAAAGAUGGUUUAGAAUUUUUAUCCGGUUAAAGUCAAAAACACAAAUUGAGGCUUAGAAUUUUUUUUUCUUUGGUUUGAUUCUAGAUGUUUAAUAGAUUGGAGGGCAUUUUGGGGUUAAAAUGAGUUUAAAGAGGUUCUUAAUAUAUACAUGUGUGUGUGUGUGUUUUAAAGUAAAAAUAAGUUGAAAAAUAGGUUUUGAAGUUGUAGAACUCAUACUUUAAAUUCAAAUAAUCAUGAAAGGUCAAAAUUCAAACUAGAAUGUGGUGCCUAUUGUUUUUUAUUAAAAAAAAAUAUUAGAAAAAAUAAAGCAUGGAAUAAAAGAUUUUUUAUGGUAAAAUUAACCAUUACUUUGUGAAUUAUGAUAUAAGAAGGUAAUAUGCAAAGUUUUUUAAAAAAUGUUCAUAACUAUUAAAUGAGAAUAAAACUAUUUUGUUAUUUUUUAUUAUAUAAUUUUUACAUAAUUUUGAUGAUUAAUUAUUCUUUUAUGUUUUUCUUCUAUUGUGUACAAAUUAUUGAUUCAUGAUUUUUAUAUUUUUUUAAUGAAAAUUUCUUUUCAAAUCAUAAUAAAUCUUUAUUUAGAAAACAAUACUUCUAUUAAAAAACAUGUUUUCUAGAAACAAGAAAGAAAUGCAUGAAUAAUAAAAGCGAUUUUUAAUUGAAAACGAUACAUUUUUCCCUUUUUUAAUUCAAAUAAUUAAUAUUUUUAUGAAUAUUUAUUUUAAUUAUUUUUAGUUUUUAUUCAAAAACAUGCUACUAAUUAAAAAAAAAAACAUGUUCUUGUCAAACAAAAAUACAUGAAUAAAAAUUGAAAAACUCACCUAACAAAAUAUUUUUUUUCUCCACAAUUUAAAUCUUUGUGUUUUUUUUUACAAAUAUCAAUUUUAAAUACCACAAAACUAGAUGAAAAAAGAUUUUGAAAACCGCCGCAUAAGGGAAAAAAUUAGUAAAUAUAUUAAAAGAGCUAGACUUUUUAUUGUAACUCUAUAUUGUUCAAAUAGAAAUAAAACAUUGUGAAUUACUUCGUAGAAAAACAAAGCAAUCUCUAUUGUUCACCUACAAAUAAGACAAUAUUAAUUGUAUACUCUAGCCCCUAAAGCUUUUAAUUUUUUAAUUUUUGGUCCUUUUAGUUUAAAGCCCGUUAGUUUUGGUCUUUAAAUUUCAUUUUUAUAAUAUUUCAUACCCUGUAUUCUAAGAGAGGAGAGAACAACUUCUUACUGAUUCAUAUUUAUUUCACACAAAAAUCAAUCAUAGUAUUAAUAAGUUCGUCAUCUUAGAAAGAAAAUGUAAAAUGAAGGUGCCUUUUCUAUUUAACUACACCUAAAAAUAGAUCAAAACAUUUUAUUAUAGAAACAAAACACUAUUCAUUUUACACUUUUAUCAUUGUAGUUUUUAAAUUUUUUUUUCAUAUUCGAUCCAUGUAAUUUUUGUUUUGUUCAUUUUAGUUUUCAAACUUUAUUUUCAUCACAUUUUUGUUCCUGGAUUCUAAGAGAGGAGAAAGAAAAUUGUUGAAAAACAAAAAAAAAUAUAUUUUUUAGCUAGCCAUAAAAGAGACUAAUCUUGGUGUUAAAAACUUCAUUCCAAUUAUUAGGAAUUUUUAUUGAAUUUCUUUAAGUUUGUACGGAAAAAACCAUGUUGUUGAUAAAAACAAAAAUCAUGGCUAUGUCAAAUUAUUGAAAUUAUUUCAAGUAUUUAUUUUAAUAGUCAUAAAAUCAAAUAUAAGCAGGUUUUAAAAUGACCCUGCGACUUCCUGUGGAUAACAAACUAGUAAACUAAACUAAAAUUGAGAAUAAAAUUGUAUUUUAAUCACAUUGUUUUUGUCUGUUACCUUUUUUCUUCUCUUUUCAAUCAAUUUUUUGUCUUAAAAAAUAGAGAAUAAAAUUGUAUUCUAAAUAAAAUUAUUGAGACGAUAUGCCAUGCUACAAUUUUUAAAUAAAAUUAUAGCUUUUAUGGUAAUAUUAAUAAUUGUUUUAUAAAUGAUAGACAUCAAUAACUAUGAAUUAAAUUAAUUUUUUCUUAAUGAUAAUUUUUCAAACUCAUAAAAUUGUAGCUAAUGGAGUGAUUAUUGGAGAGGUUUCAAAACUUUAUACUUUUUAUUACAAAACUAAUAAAUCUAAAAAAAAUGAAUUAUUUUGUGUAAGAAUUUUUAGGCCUAUAAAAAUAGGAUUUGUGCUUCUGAUAAUUUUUUUGUAUUGGAGAUGAAAAGAAAGAAUAAAAAAUUUUAAAAGGAUAAAUAUAAUGAUAAUUUGAUUUUCAGUGUGGUAAUAAAUAGGAGCAACAUGCAUGGGAUCAUUCCUUUUAAAACCAAAAAGAAGAAUUUAUUGAAGGGGAAAUAAGAAAUAUUUUGUUAUUCCUAAGAGUGGAUUCUUUUUUUUUAAUUGUUGGCGGUCAUAUGAUUUUUUAUAUUUAGACGUGAUUUGUUAAUAGUAAUAAAUAAAGAUAAUAAGAAAUAGAAAGAAAUUGAUCACCUGGAUCGUGUAUAGAAUAAAUAGUUUAAUGGAAGUCAGAAUUUUCAAAAAUAUUUGGAACAUUUCAUUUUUAAAUAGAUGAUUUUUUUUUCAAGUGUUCACAAUUAUAUAUUAAUCAAGCUAAUCCUUUGAAUCUAGAUCAAACUUGUAACCAUGUUUUUUUCAAGUCUGGCACCAAUCAAUUCGACUACAAAGAAUAAUUUUUAUUAAAAUAUGUGCAAUUUAUUAAAAACUUUCUUUAGAUAUAAAAUUUUGAGUAUUCAAUGAACCUAAUAUGCAUAUUUUUUUAAACAAAUUGCUUAUGAAUAUUGUAUGAAAAUAAAAUAUUUUUUUCUUUAUUAAAAAUAUUUUAUAUAAUUUUAUUAAAUUAAUUAUUCUUCUAUUUUUUUCAUAUAGUCAUGUAAAAAUUACCAAAGCAUUUGUUUGUUUGUUUGUUUACUGUGUCUUGUUUUUCAAAUCUAUAGGCAACUAGAUAAGCAAAUUAAAAUCUGCAGCAACCAUCCUUUGACAAAUGUUAUGAAUUUAGGCUAUGGGGUAGGUGGGAGGGUCGGAUUUUUUUAAUAACCAAGCAUUAUAUACUUUAUCUUUCGGCCCCCACCAACGCAGGAAGCACCUCGGCUGGUUCGUUGCCAUCACAGACGUUGACUUCAAAUAUUACUAGAUACAAAGUAAAUAAUCUUACAAUACUGUGAUGCACAGCAGAUGCAAAUCAGGACUUCAUUAGGGUUUGUCUGAGCUUGUAAUAUCCAACCAUGCCUUAUUUCAACUUCACUCAAGAGAUAGGCGAACCUGACUUGGUUACCGGGGAAAUUCCGGGGAUUAAAUCUGAAGCUAGUUUUUUUCUAAGCACAUCAGCAGCAGAAGGAUUACGCUCAUCAAGAGUCGCUGACAUCACAGGUGAGAGUUCUUCUUCAGAAUCUUUCAAAUCAAAUUAUGCAAAGCUUCCUGAUUACCUUAAGUCAUGCCUAGACUACUCUGCCAUUGUUUGUGGGAGAUAUGGUGUAGAGAUAGGAAAACUAGUUCGGCUUUUGUUGGCUGAAGGUCUUAUAGAAGACAGACCAGGGGAUAUCAUGGAGGAUGUAGCAGCAAAUGUUCUCAAGGAAUUGAUUGACCUAGGAAUGCUUCAAGAAGAACGACAAGGGACUGAAGUAAAAGUCCCUGCAUCGUAUCUCCGGUUAUGUAUUCUUAAAUUGGAGAAACAAGAUUUUGUUUCUAAAACUGCAAACUCACCUGUGCGUUUAGGGAUCAGAGAUGAUGGAAGGGAUAUCUAUCCUAAAGUUGAAGGCCUUCUAAUUCAUUCUCUGUUUAUUCUCGGUGCAGACCGCCGUGCUUAUUUUGAUUCUUACCGAGGCCUUUCACGGGCCUAUAUGAGAAAUGUUUGUGGUAUGCACUUUCUGUUGGUGUUGGAUUUGGAUUGCUGGAUAGAGCGCUUACCUGAUGAAUUGGGAGACUUGAUUCACCUGAGGUACUUGGGCUUGUUUAACUCAAAUCUAGAUGAGCUUCCAGGGACUUUAGGGAAUCUUAAAAGACUGCAAACUUUGGAUAUAAGGUGGUGUGGAGGACUACGCAAACUACCAAUACAAAUUCUGCAUAUCCAGCAGUUGAGACACCUUCUAAUGUCCGACAGCAUUAAUGAUUGUGAAAUUAGAGUUCCGAAGGGCAUUGGAGCAUUGGUAAAUCUUCACACUUUGUCUGGUAUUUAUGGUGGAGAUGAUAUUGCCAUGGAAUUGAUUGCCUUAACCCAGCUACGAGAGCUAGGCGUUAAGCGUGUGACUGCCGAUCAUGCCAGUGAGCUGUUUGCAGCUAUAGAGAAGAUGGAGAACCUCACAUCCCUAUCGCUAGAAGCAGAGCGAAACUACUUUGAAGGUACUAUUUUUCCUGAAUCGGAUGCGUUUUCUCCUCCGCCACUUCUUCAAGAGUUUUUCUUAAGUGGGGGAUUAAUUGAGAUGCCCGUUUGGUUUGCCUCCAUGGAAAACCUCACCCGCCUAUCAUUAUUGUUUUCUUAUCUAUCCGAGAAUCCAACUUCAGUCCUUCAGUUUCUUCCCAAAUUGAAGCAUCUUCAACUCUGCCAUGCCUACAAGGCAAGGCACAUUGGUAAAGAAUUUUGCAAUGCAGGUGGUUUCCCUGUGCUGGAAACUCUCACAAUUGCUUCUGGGUCCCUGGCGGAAUGGACUGAAAUUGAAACCGGAGCUUUUCCACGUUUAAGAUAUCUUUGUUUUCAUAACUGUGGAAACUUGAUUUUUCUUCCUGAAGGGUUGCAGAACAUUUCCACACUUCAAGAUCUGUGUUUCUUCCCGUGGCAUCCAGACCUUAGAAGGCGAUUGAUGUCCCAAAUAUUCGGACGUCUAAGAACUGUUGAUUUUCCAACCACGAAAUGGAAAAACAUUAACCACAAUAGCUUCCAUAGGAAGUUUUUCGAGGAUGAAAUGCUUUUGCUUUACUCCUCAAAUAUCAUCUCCUGCUUUCUGUUCAUUUACUUCAAUAUUCUGGUGAAGUGUGCUAUCCUCUACUGUCUUGUAUACCUAAAUUUGUGCAAUCUCCAGCGGAGAAACCAGUGUACUAGACUCCAAAAAAUCUAUCUUGAUGAUGAACGAUGUGUUUAUCUAUUUGCAUUUCCUUAAUAUCUGGAUUAUUAUCUAAUUAUUCUAUGGAAUUGCC